GACGAACGCUGGCGGCGUGCUUAACACAUGCAAGUCGAACGAAGAGCGAUGGAAGCUUGCUUCUAUCAAUCUUAGUGGCGAACGGGUGAGUAACGCGUAAUCAACCUGCCCUUCAGAGGGGGACAACAGUUGGAAACGACUGCUAAUACCGCAUACGAUCUAAUCUCGGCAUCGAGGAUAGAUGAAAGGUGGCCUCUACAUGUAAGCUAUCACUGAAGGAGGGGAUUGCGUCUGAUUAGCUAGUUGGAGGGGUAACGGCCCACCAAGGCGAUGAUCAGUAGCCGGUCUGAGAGGAUGAACGGCCACAUUGGGACUGAGACACGGCCCAGACUCCUACGGGAGGCAGCAGUGGGGAAUCUUCCGCAAUGGACGAAAGUCUGACGGAGCAACGCCGCGUGAGUGAUGACGGCCUUCGGGUUGUAAAGCUCUGUUAAUCGGGACGAAAGGCCUUCUUGCGAAUAGUGAGAAGGAUUGACGGUACCGGAAGAGAAAGCCGCGGCUAACUACGUG
rnacentral:rRNA from 1 species